GCCCCUGUAGCUCAACGGAUCAGAGCAGCGGGUUUCUACCCCGCCGGUUGCGGGUUCGACUCCUGCCAGGGGCA
rnacentral:tRNA from 1 species